CCCCCAGACUCCUACGGGAGGCAGCAGUGGGGGAUAUUGCACAAUGGGGGAAACCCUGAUGCAGCGACGCCGCGUGAGUGAAGAAGUAAUUCGUUACGUAAAGCUCUAUCAGCAGGGAAGAAAAUGACGGUACCUGACUAAGAAGCCCCGGCUAACUACGUGCCAGCAGCCGCGGUAAUACGUAGGGGGCAAGCGUUAUCCGGAUUCACUGGGUGUAAAGGGAGCGUAGACAGCGACGCAAGUCUGGAGUGAAAGCCCGGGGCCCGACCCCGGGACUGCUCUGGAAACUGCGGCGCUGGAGUACGGGAGGGGCAGGCGGAAUUCCUGGUGUAGCGGUGAAAUGCGUAGAUAUCAGGAGGAACACCGGCGGCGAAAGCGGCCUGCUGGACCGUGACUGACGUUGAGGCUCGAGAGCGUGGGGAGCAAACAGGAUUAGAUACCCCAGUA
rnacentral:rRNA from 1 species